rnacentral:lncRNA from 1 species
UUUUCCCUAAUUUCUUUUUUUCACAGGACUGCCUGUUUUCCCACACAUAAUUACUCCCUCUGUUCUUUUUAAGGUUCUGCUGCCAGAAACUGGAAACGACCCCUGUGCUUCAUCAAGUGGGAUAACACAGCAUACCUACUGCUGUGAUAACUGAGCACCUGUC